rnacentral:rRNA from 1 species
UACAGAGGUCUCAAGCGUUGUUCGGAUUCAUUGGGCGUAAAGGGUGCGCAGGCGGCGGGGCAAGUCGGACGUGAAAUCUCGGGGCUUAACCCCGAAACUGCGUUCGAUACUGCCCUGCUAGAGGACUAGAGAGGAGACUGGAAUUCCUGGUGUAGCAGUGAAAUGCGUAGAUAUCAGGAGGAACGCCAAUGGCGAAGGCAAGUCUCUGGACAGUUCCUGACGCUCAUGCACGAAGGCCAGGGGAGCAAACGGG